rnacentral:rRNA from 1 species
AUUGAACGCUGGCGGCAUGCCUAACACAUGCAAGUCGAACGGUAACAGGUCGAGCGAUCCCUUCGGGUGAGCGAGAUGCUGACGAGUGGCGGACGGGUGAGUAAUGCGUAGGAAUCGUACCUUCAAGUGGGGGAUAGCCCGGAGAAAUCCGGAUUAAUACGCAUGUUCUCUAUGGAGAAAGCGGGCCUCGUGUUUCAAGCUCGCGCUUGAAGAUGAGCCUACGUCGGAUUAGCUAGUUGGUAGGUAAGGCCUACCAAGGCGACGAUCCGUAGCUGGUUGAGAGGAUGAUCAGCCACACUGGGACUGAGACACGGCCAGACUCCUAC